CAAUAGCGUAUAUUAAAGUUGUUGCAGUUAAAAAGCUCGUAGUUGGAUUUGUGGUGUACUUCGGCGGCCCGUCACUAUGUGAUGGAGCUUGCUGAAGUCGCCAUCCUUGGGUGGAUCCUGUGUGGCAUUAAGUUGUCGUGCAGGGGGUGCCCAUCGUUUACUGUGAAAAAAUUAGAGUGUUCAAAGCAGGCUUAUGCCGUUGAAUAUAUUAGCAUGGAAUAAUAAGAUAGGACCUUGGUACUAUUUUGUUGGUUUGCGCACCAAGGUAAUGAUUAAUAGGGACAGUUGGGGGUAUUCGUAUUUCAUUGUCAGAGGUGAAAUUCUUGGAUUUUUGAAAGACGAACUACUGCGAAAGCAUUUACCAAGGAUGUUUUCAUUAA
rnacentral:rRNA from 1 species